AGGAGGAGGCAGGGGCUGGGGGACCAGGCUUGGGUACCUUCAGGAACAGGGUAUCUGGAUCCCCAGGGGCCAGAGGGAAGACCAGGCUUCAGGAAUGAAGGGGUUACAGUUACCCAAGUGUCACCUGAGCUGGGCGUCAAGUUUCCUGGGUGCUGCCUCCGCCCCGGUUGGGGGAGGGGAAGGGGACGGCUGGGCCUCCCUGAGGAGACGCCCCCAGUCCUGGGCCCCUCCUCGACGCCCGGAACCUUCCUGCCCCCAGCAGCAGAUGCCUGGACCUUGGCCCCUGCUGGGAGCGGCUGCGGGCCCGGCCUGACUCGGCCGCUGCAGGCCUUCCCGGUUAAUGAUCAGCCAGCAGCGGAGCCGGCGUCGGGGGAGGGUCUGAUGCGGAGGAGGGAACCCCGGAGCUUGGCCACCCUAGAGGAGGGCAGGCCGGCCCCAGCUGCUCACUGUGAGGGUGUCCGGCACCCGGGGCGGCACCGCGGCCGGCUCAUCGCCUACAGCCUGGUGUUUGAGGACCCUGCCUGGAUCCAGGAUUCAGAUUCAGACACUGACUCAGAAGGGCCCCGGGCUGCCCCAGGGGGUCUGGGCCCAAGGGUUGGGAUUGGGGGUGAGAGGAGUGGUCUCCCGCUGGAAGGUCCCGUAGCUGAGCUGGAAUGGGACCCCACGGGGGAUGUGGGGUGGCUGGGUACCUUCAGGAGCAGGAGAGGCUGGACACCGGGCUCCCCCUGUGAAGUGUGCGGACACAUGGAGCCCCUGGGGGCGUGGUCCCUCCAGCCGUGGGGCGCCCCCCGGGCUGUGGCCCCCCCGGACAGGAAGCAGCCCAGCCCCCGGGAUGUGACCGUCCAGAUCCACAAGGAGGGGGAAGAGCCAGCCGGGGGUGCUCAGCCCCCCCGCGCCCGCCGCCCCCUCCUCUUUGUGCUGCUCCUGCUGCUCCUUGGGGUGGCGUGCCUCCUGCCGCCCCCCAGGGGGCCUCACUGCCCCCCUCCACGGCUCCCCGGGUCCCUGCACCUGGUCCUCAGCUAUGUCAACGGCCCGCCCCCAACCUGA
rnacentral:lncRNA from 1 species